rnacentral:rRNA from 1 species
UACGUAGGGUGCAAGCGUUAAUCGGAAUUACUGGGCGUAAAGCGUGCGCAGGCGGUUUUGUAAGUCUGUCGUGAAAUCCCCGGGCUCAACCUGGGAAUUGCGAUGGAGACUGCAAGGCUAGAAUCUGGCAGAGGGGGGGUAGAAUUCCACGUGUAGCAGUGAAAUGCGUAGAGAUGUGGAGGAACACCGAUGGCGAAGGCAGCCCCCCUGGGUCAAGAUUGACGCUCAUGCACGAA